UACGUGAGGGGCUAGCGUUGUUCGGAAUUACUGGGCGUAAAGCGCACGUAGGCGGUUAUUUAAGUCAGAGGUGAAAGCCCGGAGCUCAACUCCGGAACUGCCUUUGAGACUGGAUAACUAGAAUCUUGGAGAGGCGAGUGGAAUUCCGAGUGUAGAGGUGAAAUUCGUAGAUAUUCGGAAGAACACCAGUGGCGGAAGGCGGCUCGCUGGACAAGUAUUGACGCUGAGGGUGGCGAAAAGCGUGGGGAGCAAACAG
rnacentral:rRNA from 1 species